AUGUUUCUCCUUUCUUCGUCGUAGCUAGUAAUAGGACAACGAGUUCAUUGGCCCAUAAACAAUUUACUCCUCACAUUGAUGACAUUGUUCCUCUUCUCAGCUCACAUCAUAGUCACACAAUUAAUUCUUCUUAUCACACACACAUAGUGACACAUACAUGUCCUAAACCAAUACUUUGAACUUCAAAUUUCAUGUUCCAGAUUUAUGUUUGUCUAGUGUCUACCUACCCUUUUUACUUGCCUUCAUAGACUCUCGUACCCACUUCUACAAUUAAAUUAAUAAGUACACUCACCACAAAACAUGGAUCACUGUACUUCUACCCUUUCAACUUCCACACAACCAACUCAUUGUGCUGAACAUUCAAGCUUGAAGAAGAGGUUCCUUGACAAGGCUAAGGAACAGAUGUCUAGGAUCUAUAUAUUGAAGAGAUGCAUUAUUAUGUUAUUAUGUUGGCAAAAUGUGUGGUGUAGAAGAAGGUGAAAGAGCAACAAUGAUUUCACAUGGUGAUAGAGACAGGUCGUGGCUAUUAAGUGAAGUUGCUUUUGGAAGGAUUUGGGUAAAGAAUAUGGGGUUUGUUACAUUUUCUAUUGUAUAUUUUGCCAGGUAAAAAAUUAACAGCAAAUAAUCUUUACAUUUUCUA